AUCGUAUGAGACCCACCACCUGGACAGCUGAUGAAACGGUGGGUUUGCCCAACCAAAUAAUUUCUGCAGUUCAGUGUUGUAACUGACUUCAAUGGGCAAAUGCUCACCUUCGAUGGCCACUGGCAUGCUGGAGAUGUGCUCUUUACAAAUGAAUCUCGGUUUCAACUGUACCGGGCAGGUAGUAUGUAUGGCGUCGUGUGGGCGAGUGGUUUGCUGAUGUCAACAUUGUGAAUAGAGUGCCCCAUGGUGGGGUUAUGGUAUGGACCGGCAUAAGCUACUGACAACUAACACAAUGGCAUUUUAUUGAUUCCAAUUUGAAUGCAGAGAUACCGUGACAAGAUCCUGAGGCCCAUUGUCGUGCCAUUCAUUUGCCACCAUCACAUGUUUCAGCAUAAUGCACGGCUCCAUGCAUGAUGCAAUGUCUCAGUUCCUCCAUGGCCUGUAUACUCACCUGAAAUGUCACUCAUUGAGCAUGUUUGGGAUGUUCUGGAUGGAUGUGUACAACAUUGUGUUCCAGUUCUUGCCACUUUCGCACAGCCAUUGAAGAGGAUUGGGACAACAUUCCACAGGCCACAAUCAACAGUCUAAUGAACUCUCUGCAAAGGAGAGUUGUCACUUUGCAUGUGGCAAAUGGUGGUCACACCAGAUACUGACUAGUGUUCUGAUCCAUGACCCUACCUUUUUUUUAAGGUAUGCAUAUCUGUAUUCCAAGUCAAGUGAAAUCCAUUGAGGGCCUAAUGAAAUCAUUUGAAUUGACUGAUUUCCUUAUAUGAACUGUAACUCAGUAAAAUCUUAGAAAUGUCAAAUAUAACAUCCAUUUAUGCCCAGCUAUGUAAACGCUAACGUGGAUUUAUCUUGCAAUACAUUUAGUUCAAUUGGUAAUAUUCAUGUUUGUCUUUUAAUGCCUCUUUAUAGGAAAGUAAUCAGGGGCUCCCGAGUGGUGCAGAGGUGUAAGGCACUGCAUUUCACUGCUAGAGCCGUCACAACAGACCCUGGUUUGACCCCGGGCUGUAUCUCAACUGGCCGUGAUCGGGAGUCCCCAUAGGGCGCCGCAUAAUUGGUCCAGCAUCGUCCGGUUUAGGGGAGGGUUUGGCCGGGAUCCCUUGAAGCUGUCCUCAGACAACCAUCAACCAUCAUCACCUCUGGAUGUUCUACCACCACCAGACCUGCAGUAAUUCAGCUGAGUGAUUUGACAGGAGUUUAUCAUUGGUGCUGUUGUGGGAAAUGACAUGGGGAAAUUACAUGGGGUAUAUCAUUCAAUAGCGUUUGUGAGACUGAAUAUUUGCAAUCAAGUCAGUGUUAGGGAUCAGUACGUUUGGUGCAUUCGGGAAGCAUUCUGUCCCCUUUUUCUUUUUACACAUUUUGUUAAAUUACAUUUUGUUACUCAUCAAUCUACACACAAUACCCCAUAAUGACAAAGUGAAAACAGGUUUUUAGAAUAAAAUAAAAAACCAGAAAUACCUUAUUUACAUAAGUAUUCAGACCCUUUGCUAUGACACUCAAAAUUGACCUCAGGUGCAUCGUGUUUCCAUUAAUGAUCCUUGAUGUUUCCCCAAGUUGCUUGGAGUUCACCUGUGGUAAAUUCAACUGAUUGGACAUGAUUUGGAAAGGCACAUACCUGUCGAUAUAAGGUCCCACAGUUGACAGUGCAUGCCAGAGCAAAAGCCAAGCCAUGAAGUCAAAGGAAUUGUCCUUAGAGCUCCGAGACAGGAUUGUGUUGAGGCACAGAACUGGGGAAUGGUACCAAAAAAUGUCUGCAGCAUUGAAGGUCCCCUAGAACACAGUGGCCUCCGUCAUUCUUAAAUUGAAGAAGUUUGGAACCACUAAGACUCUUCCUAGAGCUGUACCAGUGACCAGUAAAACAUAGCGUCAGAAUUGAUAUCAGCCCGGCCAAACCAAGUUAUCGGGUACUACAGUAUUGCUGUCCCUCUGGUGUUAUGGUAUACUACAAUAUUUGGUGAUAUUGUCCCGCUGUGGUGUUAUGGGGUACUACAGUAUUUGGUGGUACUGUCCUUCUGUGGUGUUAUGGGGUACUACAGUAUUUGGUGGUACUGUCUCUCUGGUGUUAUGGGGUACUACAGUAUUUGGUAGAGUGUGGACCUCAUUAUCAAGUCAUGUGAACCAUAAUGUGACAGGUGAAUUAAGUAGAUUGUUGCUUUUUUUCCCCCAUGCAUCCCUAUUCUGGUAAAUGUAAAAAAUAUGAUACUCACAAUAACAUGCAUUUGGGUCAACAUGACUGAAAACAUGCAAUGGAUAUUGUUUGACCUUACACCGUGAUCAAGCUACUUUGACUCCUAAAGUCACAGUCAUGGGGCAGACCUGUUAAUGUUUAACUACUGUAGUAAAAUCCUCAGUGUAGCAGUAAACACGCGUGUUUCCUGAUAUAUGCAUUGACAAAGUCUUAAGUGAACAAAUAAUACACUCACUCAUCAUUAGGUCAUAAAAUAACUCCUUAUCAAUGAUGAACCUUGAUUUGUGAUUGGACACAACUGUUGGUUGUUUUUCAGCAUCACCUUGUCUCCAACACAGUCAAGUUGCUACUCCUCUGGAUAUCCCAUUGUUCCUCCACUGGACCUAAUUAAACACUGUGAGUAUGAAAUUACUUUCACGGGUGUAGUUGUAGGAAAUGUAAACUGUUCUGUUCUAAUGUUGCAUUAAUCUAGAACUAUUCAUGAAAAUACUGUAUGUAAAAGUGUGUCUGUCAUACAUUGUUUCAAGCCACUCCUUGCAACAAAUCUGAUGUGAGAUUCAUGUGAGAUGUAUUAUAUUUUUUUUGGUUAGUAUAAGGAGUCAGGUGUUAUUCCUCAAGAAUCAAUAGGGUAUAUCAUUAAUUGAAAAGACAUUUGAACAGCAGUAAAUAUAGAAGAUGGCCUCCAGUUCUCCUUACUGUACCUCCCUAAAGCUGAAGUGUGCAGUAGUUGCUGAAGAAUUCCCCAUGGAAUACACAAUUAAUGAUUGAUGAUCGAAUACUGAGGAAGUUAAGUUGUACUGAUAACAAUUAGAAGUAGAAUUUCUCAAUGAAACCCUGUUUUGAAUCCAGUGUCUCUUAUGGGCUGCAUGUACUGUAUUUGUGCCUGUCUGGACAAUUGUUCCUAGAUGCAGUUUGUUGAAAUUUGAGGCUGUCUUGACUGCUGGCAAUAUGGCUGUAAUCAGCUUUUUAGAAUGCUUUACAUUGUACAGCCUAACAGGCCUUUGAACCCUGUUACACCUGAACCAAUUAUGGUGCGCCCACUUAAUAGUGUAAUAAACUGUACUGCAGUUUGAGGGGUAAGUGUGGGUUGUAGGAG